UUGGAGGGCAAGUCUGGUGCCAGCAGCCGCGGUAAUUCCAGCUCCAAUAGCGUAUAUUAAAGUUGUUGCAGUUAAAAAGCUCGUAGUUGAAUUUCGGGGUCAGUAGGUUGGUCAUGCCACUGGUAUGUACUGGUCUCACUGAUUCCUCCUUCCUGAUGAACUGUAAUGACAUUAAUUUGGUGUUGCAGGGAAUCUGGACUGUUACUUUGAAAAAAUUAGAGUGUUUAAAGCAGGCUAACGCCUGAAUACAUUAGCAUGGAAUAAUGAAAUAGGACGUUCGAUCCUAUUUUGUUGGUUUCUAGGAUUGACGUAAUGAUUAAUAGGGAUAGUUGGGGGCAUUAGUAUUCAAUUGUCAGAGGUGAAAUUCUUGGAUUUAUUGAAGACUAACUACUGCGAAAGCAUUUGCCAAGGAUGUUUUCAUUAAUCAAGAACGAAAGUUAGGGGAUCGAAGACGAUCAGAUACCGUCGUAGUCUUAACCAUAGACUAUGCCGACUAGGGAUCGGAUGAUGUUAAUUUUUUAAUGACUCAUUCGGCGCCUUACGGGAAAC
rnacentral:rRNA from 1 species